rnacentral:rRNA from 1 species
GUGGGGAAUAUUGGACAAUGGGCGAAAGCCUGAUCCAGCCAUGCCGCGUGAGUGAUGAAGGCCCUAGGGUUGUAAAGCUCUUUCACCGGUGAAGAUAAUGACGGUAACCGGAGAAGAAGCCCCGGCUAACUUCGUGCCAGCAGCCGCGGUAAUACGAAGGGGGCUAGCGUUGUUCGGAAUUACUGGGCGUAAAGCGCACGUAGGCGGACUAUUAAGUCAGGGGUGAAAUCCCGGGGCUCAACCCCGGAACUGCCUUUGAUACUGGUAGUCUCGAGUCCGGAAGAGGUGAGUGGAAUUCCGAGUGUAGAGGUGAAAUUCGUAGAUAUUCGGAGGAACACCAGUGGCGAAGGCGGCUCACUGGUCCGGUACUGACGCUGAGGUGCGAAAGCGUGGGGAGCAAACAGGAUUAGAAACCCCGGUAGUCC